rnacentral:rRNA from 1 species
GGUGGUGAUUCUAGCGGUGGGGUCACACCUCUUACCAUUUCGAACAGAGUCGUUAAGUCCACCAGCGCUGAUGAUACUUGUUCCACAAGGAACCGGGAAAGUAAGUCAUCGCCACCA